rnacentral:rRNA from 1 species
AUUGAACGCUGGCGGCAGGCCUAACACAUGCAAGUCGAGCGAGUGGCGGACGGGUGAGUAAUGCCUGGGAAUUGCCCAGUCGAGGGGGAUAACAGUUGAAAACGACUGCUAAUACCGCAUACGAUUGGAUUGCCCAGGUGGGUUUAGCUAGUUGGUGAGGUAAUGGCUCACCAAGGCGACGAUCCCUAGCUGGUCGGCGAGGAUGAUCAGCAACACUGGAACGGAGACACGGUCCAGACUCCUACGGGAGGCAGCAGGGGGGAAUAUUGCACAAUGGGGGCAAACCUGAGGCAGCCAUGCCGCGUGAGUGAAGAAGGCCUCCGGGUUGUAAAGCCCUUUCAGCGAGGAGUCGUUAUUCGAAGCAGAAGCACCGGCUAACCCCGUGCCAGCAGCCGCGGUAAUAC